GCCGAGAUUGUACCGCUGCACUCCAGCCUGGUGACGGAGUGAGACUCUGUCUAAAAAACCACCAAAACUCAAAAUUGCCAACAGGAAGAAGGCAGGAGCAAAACAGGUGCUCACAGCUGCCAGAUAUUUGUGGGCCCUGCCUGGGGUAGAGAUCUAAAUGCUGGCUCUGCAUUGAAAACAUAAGGGAAUUUCUUUGUCUUGCUCUUGCUCCGGCUCCCUGUUACUGCAUACCAUGGUAUCUCUUUUCUUUCUAGGUGAUAAUGCCCCAUCCAUAAGCAAUUUACUAACAAAAUGGAGGACAGGACUUCACUCCUCCCCAAACAUCUACAAGGGGAAGGUCCCCUUUUACUGAGCACCGUGGCCACAAUUUUAACAGUUAUUACAAAAUAAAAGUUGCUACAUUCUCAUGAUGAUGGGUUUUCCCAUCACCUGAAAAAUUAUUUACCGAGUGUCUGUAGCCAGCGUGAAAAACACCCCUAAAGUUUAGAUAUGCAUCAGUAGUUCCCUCAAGAACAGCACACGUUAAAAGCUUUCAUAAAGAGAAAACAAAAAUAAGGAGUUGAAAAACAUAAAAGUAUAAAUUAGUAGCCACAAAAGGGAGAAGUUAAAGAGAGACUAUGAAAACAUAUUUGUCUUGCAGAAAGAUACAAUCUGAGAAGCAACCCUGCAGGACUUGGCUGAAAGUCAACGGGUGGCUGAUCAAAUGAAGCGAUAGGAGCUGUGUAAUUUGUCAUAUCAAGCAUCUGCGACAAACCCACGCACAAUCCGAGGAAUAGAUGACCAACAUAUAUACUUAAAGAAAGUGAACUGCCAACACAACUUGGUCACAACAAGAUUCUGCAUAUGAGAAAACCAAGAACCGGAAAGACAAGGGAUCCGUCAGGAACACCACAUGUUGCAACAGAACAAUGACACCUGAGAAAAGUAGAAAUAAAUUGAAGGGAGGAAGGA